ensembl:lncRNA
GUUGGGACUUUCUCUAUUUGUCACAGUGACUUGGAAUCCUACUGGCACUUCUUGGAUGGGAACAGGACAGUCCCAUACAAGGAGGAAUUAUUCCGUGUCCCAUUGGACUCUCAAAGGACCCACUGGACAUUCAGGAAGAAAGCUACGUUGCCUUUGGAACCUCUAAAGUCGGGAGAGACAUUCCAAUUUCCCUUCUGGCCUGGAGGAACACAAGCUUAAUGUAGCUUGCAGGAAGCCUGAUUUCAGCUAGCUUUAACACCCCCAGAAGGAGUUCAAAUGUGAAAGAACAGCACUUUCCCUUUUAGGAGGCCCAUCUUAUCACAGACAACAGGGUCAACCCUGAUCAAACAAGCUGCCCUGGAGACAGACCCACACAGCAAGGAACUAAGGAUGUCCUCUAGCCAAUGGUCAGCGAGGAACUGAGACUCUGCUCAGUAGCCCACAGGAAACUGAAUCCUCCCAACCACCAUGUGAGAGAGCGUGGGAGGCGGGACCCUCUGAAUUCCAGCCUUAAGAUGACUGCAGCCCCAGCCU